rnacentral:misc_RNA from 1 species
GUAUUUCCAAGAAUCUCCAUGUGAUCAUACCCAAGGGAAGAUAUACCACACACAACCGGUGUUUGAACCACAUUUGUAGGAUCAAAAGUUCCACCUAACCCAACCUCCAAAAUAGCUACAUCUACCUGCUCUGCAGCAAAUAUCUUGAAGGCAAGCAAGGCAAGAAAGCGGAAGUAAGAAGGCAUUGGUAUAUCUUCAUUAGUUUUUUCCUUCAGUCUAUCAUAACACCACCAGAAAUGUGCCAAAAAAUUUUCUUCACAAAUGUCCUUACCAUCCAAACGAAAUCUUUCACGAACAUCGAUGAGGUGAGGAGAUGUGAAAAGUCCUGUGCGGAAGCCAUAAUUACGUAGUAUAGAUUCUGUGAAGGUGCAUGUGGAUCCCUUUCCUUUGGUGCCCGCUACAUGUAUGAUCUUCAUUUCUGAGAUAGCCUGCUCCAGCUCCAGCAUCUUUAAAUAAUCAAACAGCAAAUCGAAGUGAUCCCCUUUGUUGCUCUUGUCAGCACGAGUGCGUCUGGGUAUCAAAGACGAUAGAGCAUCCAUUGCCUCAUCAUAUGGAGUCACGGUAUGCUUCGAGGAUCCACUCACACCUUCUGCCAUAUCUGUUCGGCGGUAAAAAACUAGCAGGAAAGCGAAGGAUGGAUAGCAACAACAACGACUAAUCGGG